GCUGGGCACAGUGGCUUAUGCCUGUAAUUCUAGCACUUUGGGAGGCUGAGGCUGGUGGAUCACCUGAGGUCAGGAGUUCUAGACCAGCCUGACCAACAUGGUGAAACCCUGUCUCUA
rnacentral:SRP_RNA from 2 species